GUGUCAGCCGCCGCGGUAAUACGUAGGGGGCUAGCGUUGUCCGGAAUCAUUGGGCGUAAAGCGCGUGUAGGCGGCCCGGUAAGUCCGCUGUGAAAGUCCAGGGCUCAACCCUGGGAUGCCGGUGGAUACUGUCGGGCUCGAGUCCGGAAGAGGCGAGUGGAAUUCCUGGUGUAGCGGUGAAAUGCGCAGAUAUCAGGAGGAACACCAAUGGCGAAGGCAGCUCGCUGGGACGUGACUGACGCUGAGACGCGAAAGCGUGGGGAGCAAACAGGAUUAGAUACCCCAGUAGUCC
rnacentral:rRNA from 1 species